rnacentral:rRNA from 1 species
AGCAGCCGCGGUAAUUCCAGCUCCAAUAGCGUAUAUUAAAGUUGUUGCAGUUAAAAAGCUCGUAGUUGAAUUUCGGGAUCAAGGAAUCGGUCAUGCCUUGGUAUGUACUGGUUUUAUUGGUUCUCACCUUCUAAAGAACCAUAAUGUCAUUCAUUUGAUGUUAUGGGGAAUUAGGACUGUUACCUUGAAAAAAUUAGAGUGUUUAAAGCAGGCUCACGCUUGAAUACAUUAGCAUGGAAUAAUGAAAUAGGACAUCAGAUUCUAUUUUGUUGGUUUCUAGGAUCGAUGUAAUGAUUAAUAGGGAUAGUUGGGGGCAUUAGUAUUCAAUUGUCAGAGGUGAAAUUCUUGGAUUUAUUGAAGACUAACUACUGCGAAAGCAUUUGCCAAGGAUGUUUUCAUUAAUCAAGAACGAAAGUUAGGGGAUCGAAGACGAUCAGAUACCGUCGUAGUCUUAACCAUAAACUAUGCCGACUAGGGAUCGGAUGAUGUUUAUUUUUAGUGA